rnacentral:snRNA from 1 species
AUACUUACUUCGUUCCGGGUCCUCGUUGAUCACCUAGGACGAGCCCCCAGGGUGAGGCGCAGACAUUGCACUGCGCUCCCAUAGACCCCUGCCACGGCCCCAAACUGCAGAUGGGGAAUGCAAAUCGC